GACGAACGCUGGCGGCGUGCUUAACACAUGCAAGUCGAACGAAGUGGCGAACGGGUGAGUAACGCGUAAUCAACCUGCCCUUCAGAGGGGGACAACAGUUGGAAAAGACUGCUAAUACCGAAUACUGAAGGAGGGGAUUGAGUUGGAUUAGCUCGUUGGGGGGGUAACGGCCCACCAAGGCGAUGAUCAGUAGCCGGUCUGAGAGGAUGAACGGCCACAUUUGGAACGAGACACGGCCCAGACUCCUACGGGAGGCAGCAGUGGGGAAUCUUCCGCAAUGGAGGAAAGUCUGACGGAGCAACGCCGCGUGAGUGAUGACGGCCUUCGGGUUGGAAAGCUCUGUUAAUCGGGACGCGGUACCGGAAUAGAAAGCCACGGCUAACUACGUGCCAGCAGCCGCGGUAAUUC
rnacentral:rRNA from 1 species